UUACAUUCAAAAUGAGUUAUAUCAGAAAUGUUAAUCCACAUACAUACCAUCUAUGUAUAGAGGAGAGCAAGAGAGGCUGUGUAUUUGAUUAAAGCUAUGCUAAGAAUAUCAUAUACUGUCACUCAUAAUAAUACUAUGCUAUUAAUAUUGUAGUAUGCAGGCUAUGUGCCGCCUGCGAAUAUUUAUAAUAAGUCCAUGUAAUAUAAUUUGAAUUUUAUAUAUUUAAAGGUCCUUAUAAAGUCCUAUACAUACAUAUGCUUGUGUGUAUAUAUGCAUGCACAUUCACAUACUUUUAAACACCUCAAUUUGAUCAGCUUUGUAUUUGAUACAACGUUUAAUACGAUUAAAACCCCCCAAAACAUUUACAUAGCAUUUUGUAACUACUUCCUCAGGUACGUUUCGAGUCAUAGUAGUACAUAUCCGUUAGAUGGCGCUGUUGCAGACGGGUGAACUAAAGAAGUCAAUGGAAAACCGGACUAGUUUGGUAUGCAUGUCCGGCCUUUGCACAGUUACAUUUGAUCCCGUGCAUUAAUUCGAUCUGGACAAAACCAAGCCGCUAGACGCUGAAAAACCAAACACAGACUUGGAAACACAAGACAGUUAUGCAGAAUUCCUCCCCGGUAAUUGCGAAAGACAAACACGCAGGACACGUCAAGUUAAACCUGACUGAAAGCGACAGGCGUGUUUCUGGAGCCCCCACCGCCAAAGAUGUUUCCCCCUCGACGACGCUCGCGUUUCGCGCGCGCCGCGAGGGUUCAUGAAAACCCUCCCGUGUUUGUUAUUAACGACGUGCUGAGAGAAAACCGGACUCUUUAAUUAUUCAUUCGAGUCGUGUUCUUUCAUGCUAAUCAAACGCAAGUUUAGACGUUUUCUCCGCGCGCGCUAGUCCUCCAGGAUUCACCCGGGGGGUUGCGCGGCCCGCCAGGCGCUCUUUAUUGACAUAGGAAAUCCAUAUGCCUCGCAUUUCCCUUGAUGACUUCUGCAAGUGCGCGGCUCCUUCCGGUGACUCAUGCUGCACUUGUGUGGACCGGAGACUGUGGUUUUCCAUUUACCUCUGGAGCUCCGCCACGGCGUCUGCGCUGCUGUAACCCGGCACGCUUUCAAAACCAGACGGCUGCAGAAAAAGCCCUCCCUCUCAAAACAAUGGAGCCACAUCUGCCCCGGUGCAUUGUGGUACCCGGCGGUACUCUGGAAGGCUCGUUGAGCGUAAGCAGGAAAGAGGGUAAAGGAAUGCUAAGGUCACGCUUUCACGCUGAACUCUAUGCUAAUAAUCCCAGAAUGCUUUUAAAAAAGGAAGACGCGGGAAGGAAGUGGAGCAGUGAAACUCUCUCUCUCUCUGAGAGAUUUUAAGUGGUAACUUGCAUAACAAGCACCAUAAUUGCAAUGAGUGGUUUGUCUUUCUCUCUGAGUGAACAUUUCAAAGUUUAUGUCUUUAUGAAAUUGGCAUUCUGAAGCAAACCACUGCUGGGAUAUAUUCGCUGGAGUAAACAAGUGACAACCAUCCAAAUUCAUCACUGCCAUGCAGUAACGGUUGAGUAUGUCUGCAUGGCCAGCCCAUACGCUCGAUGACUCACGGUGCAGAUGAACUACCUGAAACGACGACGUUGUGGACUCCAUCCGCCGCACUGCAUGGCUUCUGGGGUUCUGCAGAGAGGGGAAUCCCGCCUAAGACGGAGCGUGCGCGAGCGUUUCUGCGACUGCGUGGAUGUUCCCGAACAGCAGACCAUUAAUGAGGAUGACUCAUCCCUAGAAACCCCACUGGAUGGGUGCGGAGUCCAAACCUUCUGCAAGUUCUGCUUAGUAAGACUUCACUGGCCUUCUUCUAAUGAGCUGCGGUGGAACCAGCUCCAGCAAACCCAACGGUCCACCCUAUCAGGAAGUAAUCACCACUCUAAUCAGCCAUAAAGAUGAUGUCUCAGCAUAGACAACAGGUGCAAUGUAGCUGAUCGGUAUUCCGGUGGGACGAGACUUCUUUCCCAGAGAGAAUGCAUGGUAAGCAGUUCACCAUCAGACCUGAUGUGAGCCCUGGAGUGAUUACAUUCAAAUGUAUUCAGAAAAUCCACAUGAGAAGGAUGAACAGUGACUCAACGUCAAUAUACGCUGAAAUCCGCAAAGAGUACAUGGAGAUUAAACCAGAACACAUGGCUUGUUUGCUUUAUGCUUUUUGAUAAGCUGAGACAUUGAUUAAAGUGCUCCAUAUCCAUUGAUAUUCAGUGAAAACGUAAGGCAAAUGCAAACAAAUGUUAUCCAUUCCUAAUAUACACAGUACAUCCACAGACGUACAGCUAUUUUUAAAUAAGGCAUUAAAGCAUGUUAUUGACGCUUCUUGCAUUUUCCUUUUUUUAAAUUCUCUUUGGAUUAAAGUCUAGUUUUAAAGUUGCAACUACCUUUUUUGCAUUUAUCCACAUUAGUUUCAAACCAAUAAAUGUUUGUUUGUCUGUUAGAUGUCUUAAAGAUAAGCCCUACCAGUUGUGAGGUUCGUCCUGUUUGUAUAUUUUAUGUUUAUUGCUGUGAUUUUAAUGCUUGAAGGCAAAUCUUUGUUGUUGUUUUUUUAAAUUAGCCCUACAAGGACCCACAUAGACAUUUGUCCAUUUGAUCUUAAUACUCCAUCCUGGUCACAUCUUAGCUGUUUAGUACUGUGACUUUUUUUGUUUGAAUUGAUCAACAUUUGUUGCAGGUAAAUAAAUCUUUGGCAUGUAUUUCUUUUAUGCCUUUUUAAG